AGGAGGUCUGGAGUUCUGAUCAAGAUAGAGGUGAUGGGUGAGUAAACUCUUGGAGGAGGAACCUGGAUGCCCAGUGAGCUGUGAAGGAAGGAGCCAGCCUGAGUCCCUCAAGUGGAUAUCUUAAAGGAAUAGCCGGAAGGGUGCUUGGAUGAAAGAAAUCGAAAGGCUACGUGCGACAUGGUAGAGGAGCCCAGAAGGUUGAGGCGAGCCUGACACACAUAGCAAAAAAAGCUCAACUUUUCUUCAGAACUUUCCUUGGCUGGAUGAGGAGCCUCAGAACCAUGGGCCUAAUGUGGCCCUCCAAGCCUCACUACUUGGCCCUCGGAACACUCCCCAGACCACGCCCCUCACUGCUCUCCCUUUGCACCUUCCUUGACUGUUUUUGCCUGGCCAGAAUGCAUCCUUGAACUCUGAUCAUGCCUCCUUCUUGCCUGGGUGGAAGGUUGUGUGUGUGGAAACUAGCCAAUUAUACAAAAGGAAAAUGUAUAUUUGUUGCUCCGCCCACUUUUCCCUCCGGCCCCGCCCAUCCCUGGCAUGUGGCCCCCAGAAGGGGAUGUGGCCCUUGGGCUGAAGAACGGUCUCCAACCCUGAUUUAAAGCCUGGCUGUUGUUUUUUCCCUCUUCCAUCAAGAUGGACUGGAAAGCUGCCAGGAAAUCUCCCAAACUUUUUUUUUUUUACGUUGCGGGGGAGAGGGGAGAGGUUGUAAGUAGGAAGUUAUUGAGCAUUGCUUUGCUGCAGCUCAAGUGGAAAAUCCACAGGAUUUGCCAAGAACCCUGCCUAGUCUUUAACUAUUACAUUAAGCAUCUGUCGCGCCUGCCAUUUAUGGAUCAGAUAGCAUUCUCCUCUUGAGAUAUUUGAUUUUAUUACC